UAUUAAGCUGUGAAGAGGAUUAGUAGAUUUUGUUUUUCUAUUUAGAGAGAAAGUGGUUGGUGAAAACUUUCUAGAAAAAGUUUCGAAGCUGCCUUGGAGCUAUAAGUAUACUAAGUGAUGCAUUUUAUUUUGUGCGUAAUUAGGGUGGUACCGCGGAAGUUUAGCCUUUCGUCCCUUAU
rnacentral:ncRNA from 1 species